GAUGAACGCUGGCGGCGUGCCUAAUACAUGCAAGUCGAGCGAACAGACGAGGAGCUUGCUCCUUCGACGUUAGCGGCGGACGGGUGAGUAACACGUAGGUAACCUACCUAUAAGACUGGGAUAACUUCGGGAAACCGGAGCUAAUACCGGAUAAUAUUUUGAACCGCAUGGUUCGAUAGUGAAAGAUGGCUUUGCUAUCACUUAUAGAUGGACCUGCGCCGUAUUAGCUAGUUGGUAAGGUAACGGCUUACCAAGGCAACGAUACGUAGCCGACCUGAGAGGGUGAUCGGCCACACUGGAACUGAGACACGGUCCAGACUCCUACGGGAGGCAGCAGUAGGGAAUCUUCCGCAAUGGGCGAAAGCCUGACGGAGCAACGCCGCGUGAGUGAUGAAGGUCUUCGGAUCGUAAAACUCUGUUAUUAGGGAAGAACAAACGUGUAAGUAACUGUGCACGUCUUGACGGUACCUAAUCAGAAAGCCACGGCUAACUACGUG
rnacentral:rRNA from 1 species